rnacentral:rRNA from 1 species
AUUGAACGCUGGCGGCAUGCCUUACACAUGCAAGUCGAACGGCAGCAUGAUCUAGCUUGCUAGAUUGAUGGCGAGUGGCGCACGGGUGAGUAAUACAUCGGAACGUGCCCUGUAGUGGGGGAUAACUAGUCGAAAGAUUAGCUAAUACCGCAUACGACCUGAGGGUGAAAGUGGGGGACCGCAAGGCCUCAUGCUAUAGGAGCGGCCGAUGUCUGAUUAGCUAGUUGGUGAGGUAAAGGCUCACCAAGGCGACGAUCAGUAGCUGGUCUGAGAGGACGAUCAGCCACACUGGGACUGAGACACGGCCCAGACUCCUACGGGAGGCAGCAGUGGGGAAUUUUGGACAAUGGGCGAAAGCCUGAUCCAGCAAUGCCGCGUGUGUGAAGAAGGCCUUCGGGUUGUAAAGCACUUUUGUCCGGAAAGAAAUGGCUCUGGUUAAUACCUGGGGUAGAUGACGGUACCGGAAGAAUAAGGACCGGCUAACUACGUG